rnacentral:rRNA from 1 species
GCCGUAGCUAACGCAUUAAGUGCCCCGCCUGGGGAGUACGGCCGCAAGGCUAAAACUCAAAGGAAUUGACGGGGGCCCGCACAAGCGGCGGAGCAUGCGGAUUAAUUCGAUGCAACGCGAAGAACCUUACCAAGGCUUGACAUUCACCGGACCGCCCCAGAGAUGGGGUUUCCCUUCGGGGCUGGUGGACAGGUGGUGCAUGGUUGUCGUCAGCUCGUGUCGUGAGAUGUUGGGUUAAGUCCCGCAACGAGCGCAACCCUCGUUCUAUGUUGCCAGCACGUGAUGGUGGGGACUCAUAGGAGACUGCCGGGGUCAACUCGGAGGAAGGUGGGGAUGACGUCAAAUCAUCAUGCCCCUUAUGUCUUGGGCUUCACGCAUGCUACAAUGGCCGGUACAAAGGGUUGCGAUACUGUGAGGUGGAGCUAAUCCCAAAAAGCCGGUCUCAGUUCGGAUUGAGGUCUGCAACUCGACCUCAUGAAGUCGGAGUCGCUAGUAAUCGCAGAUCAGCAACGCUGCGGUGAAUACGUUCCCGGGCCUUGUACACACCGCCCGUCAAGUCACGAAAGUUGGUAACACCCGAAGCCGGUGGCCUAACCCCUU